CAGUAGCCACGGUAAAACGUAGGGUGCAAGCGUUAAUCGGAAUUACUGGGCGUAAAGCGUGCGCAGGCGGUCCGCUAAGACAGAUGUGAAAUCCCCGGGCUUAACCUGGGGGCUGCAUUUGAUACGUGCGGGCUAGAAUGUGAAAGAGGGUCGUGGAAUUCCCAGUGUAGAGGUGAAAUUCGUAGAUAUUGGGAAGAACACCGAUGGCGAAGGCAGCCCCCUGGGCCAAUACUGACGCUCAUGCACGAAAGCGUGGGGAGCGAACAGGAUUAGAUACCCCUGUAGUCCCUGUCUCUUAUAC
rnacentral:rRNA from 1 species